CGGUCUGGGCUAAUACCCGGGGCUAAUGACGGGACCGUAAGAAUAAGCACCGGCUAACUACGUGCCAGCAGCCGCGGUAAUACGUAGGGUGCAAGCGUUAAUCGGAAUUACUGGGCGUAAAGCGCGCGCAGGCGGGAUGUAAUUUAGGCG
rnacentral:rRNA from 1 species